rnacentral:rRNA from 1 species
AAGUUUCAACAACGGAUCUCUUGGCUCUCGCAUCGAUGAAGAACGCAGCGAAAUGCGAUAAGUAAUGUGAAUUGCCGAAUUCAGUGAAUCAUCGAAUCUUUGAACGCACCUUGCGCUCCUUGGUAUUCCUCGGAGCAUGCCUGUCUGAGUAUCA